rnacentral:lncRNA from 13 species
AGAUGGUACAACAAAGACAUAACGAGAGGGAGAGCUGAGGAACUUCUGAUCACAGAGGGUAAGAAAGGAGCUUUUGUGGUGCGAGACUCCAGGCAUGCAGGCGUCUACACUGUGUCUGUCUUCACUAAAGCCCCAGGAAGAACCCGCGGGUGAAGCACUACCAGAUCAGACAGUCAGAGGCAGAGACGUCCACGUUUUACCUGGCAGAGAAAUACCUGUUCAGCACCAUUCCUGAGCUCAUCCAGUACCACCAACACAACGCUGCAGGUCUGAUCACCUGACUGAGGCAUCCUGUCUCUCAGGGUAGAGAGAAUUCUCAGAGCCCUGCGGAACUCUCAGAAGGUCAGAGGUUGACCUGCUGCUUCUGUCUCCAGGCAGCCAGCAGCAAUUUUGUUUGGUUAUUGAUUAUGAAAGGUAUCAUAGAGAUAGUUAGAGGACUCAUUUUUGCAUCUGUGCCAUUAUGGUGUCUGUUACAGCAUGGGCAGAUGAGUCCUCUAACUAUCUCUAUGGAAGUUUCCUAAUCCUGAAUUACAUGACAAUUCUAAAGAUCAAACACAAAGCAGAUAACACACCAGACGCUUAUAUGUUAUAGAUAAGUUACUGUGUAAUAAAGAUAUGCUUUAACAACGCAUAUGCAUGAUAGUGAGAAUUGGCGUGUGUUUUGCUAUUCUAAAAGCAUUAGGAAUGUGAUGACAUAAUUGGUG